rnacentral:rRNA from 1 species
CCUUAGGGCCACAUUGCCCUGAAUGUGUCUGAUCUCGUCCCCUCUUAGAAGCUAAGCAGGGUCAGGCCUGGCGACUACCUGAUGGGAGAAGAAAAGGAGGAGCUGCCUCACGGA